rnacentral:rRNA from 1 species
CGGGUGAGUAACACGUAUCCAACCUGCCGUCUACUCUUGGACAGCCUUCUGAAAGGAAGAUUAAUACAAGAUGGCAUCAUGAGUUCACAUGUUCACAUGAUUAAAGGUAUUCCGGUAGACGAUGGGGAUGCGUUCCAUUAGAUAGUAGGCGGAGUGACGGCCCACCUAGUCUUCGAUGGAUAGGGGUUCUGAGAGGAAGGUCCCCCACAUUGGAACUGAGACACGGUCCAA